rnacentral:lncRNA from 1 species
AGGUGAAUGGAGGCAGGUUCUCCUGGUGGUGGCAAGGGGACCUAGAGCCCUGGUGCGGUCGGGUGUGCCACCAUGCCCUUGGCCAAAGUCUCUAUUUUGCUGUGCCUCUGACCCUCAGGCUGCCUGCAGACAGAUGGUCUCAGACAGAUGUGCGCUUUGCAAUUGUUGGAGCCCAUUUGUAUGAAAAGAGAUCUGGGAAACCUUGAUUUUUGCUCUUAAGGCCUUCAACUGAUUGGAUGAGGCCCACCACAUCAUCAAGGUCAUUUCUUUUACUUAAAAUUGUCUGACUGUAGAUGUGAAGUACAUCAUGAAAAAAUGUCUUCACAAAAACACUUCAGUUAGUGGGUAAAUACCAGGCGCUAUUACCUAAAAGCCAAGUUGGCAUAUAAAACUACCCAUUGCACAAGGUGAAGAGCUUUGUCUUGAUCCUAGGAGUAAUGGGAAGCCCUUGAAGUCUGUCAGGAAGAGAUGGCAUAAUUAAAUUUGUGUUUCCCAAAUGGACUUUGUGCUGACAGAAGGAGCUGGACUUUGGACACAGGAAGCAUGUCUUGCCCACCAGAGCAUCUUUAGUAGCUAGAACAGCACUCAGCACACAUGACUCUGACUGCCAGAAAAUUUAGGAAGAUUUUGCAAUGGGAAUCUAGAACGGAUCCUUUCUAUCUCUGGAGACUAGUCAGGCCAGCUGGAUUGUCAGACUUGCCCAUGAAGCAUGUCAGUUUCUUGCCUGAACUCACCUUGCAGACUUUCUACCCUGCCCUGCUUACCUGGGUAUAUGGACACCAGAGCUGAUGCUGGAAACAUCAGGCCAAACUAGGUCUUUGGAAAUAACUCUGCUAAGGACCUUCGCAUGUGCAGGACUGUGUGCUGAGACAGUGGCUGGAGUCACUGAUGGUGCCAGGACCUGCAAAGAGGCCAGUCCCUCGAAGAUGUCCCCCAGUGCAGCUGGCCAUGCUGGAAAGGAAAAUGGAUCAAAACAUUCUUCCUACCACCAUCUCUCUUUGGUUUUGUGCUGGUUGUUGUUCCGAGGGGCAGACCUCCUGCUGGCCAAGUCACAGAGAUGGAGGCGGGUUUCCCAGGCCUCGAUUCGGCACAAAGUCUGUUUCUGAUUUCUGGUAGGGCUCCUCACCACCUGUUCCAGGCUGCAGCUGCUGUUGUUUUAUUUUGUGUUACAGAGCUUAUUACUAUUGUUGGUUCAUCAUUACAUAAUGUUUUAUUUAUAUUCACAAAAA